UGGAGAGAUUUUAGGGAUAUGGCAAAUAAGACAAUACCGGAUUUUAUCUAGUAUUUUAUUUUCUUUUUGAAAUUUCUGGGCUUCCCUAAUUUUCAUGUUCUUCUUUUUCCCAUGUCCCACUCGUUUUCUUUUUCUUCCUUUUUUCUUUUGGUAGUCAUAAAUUCAUCGAGAUUCUGUCUUGCAAUUUCGAAUCUUAGUUCAUCGGUGUUCUUGUUGUUCAGUAAAUU
rnacentral:lncRNA from 1 species